AUGUCAAUUAAAUUCAAUAGGGAGGUUGAUGAUGGUGCAGAGGUAAGUUUUCGGCGUGGAACGAAAGGAUUACGGUUGGAGGGAGCUCGGCUUGUUGAGCGAAGAUGGGUUUGUGAGGAAACAGAGGGCUUAACGGCUAUAGGGAGGUUGAUGAUGCUCGCGAUGAACUGUGGAAGAGAGAUUUGGGUCUUUCUUUUCUCUGUUGUCAUCUGA